AGUGAACGCUGGCGGCGUGCUUAACACAUGCAAGUCGAACGAGAACGGAUUAUAGCUUGCUAUAAUUGUCAGCUAAGUGGCGCACGGGUGAGUAAUGUAUAGGUAAUACGCCUCUUACUAAGGGAUAACAAAUGGAAACGUUUGCCAAUACCUUAUACUCCUUAUUAACAGAAGUUAAUAAGGGAAAGAUUUAUUGGUAAGAGAUUAGCCUGUAUUGUAUCAGUUAGUUGGUGGGGUAAUGGCUUACCAAGACUAUGACACAUAACUGGUUUGAGAGGAUGAUCAGUCACACUGGAACUGAGACACGGUCCAGACUCCUACGGGAGGCAGCAGUGGGGAAUAUUGCACAAUGGACGAAAGUCUGAUGCAGCAACGCCGCGUGGAGGAUGACACAUUUCGGUGCGUAAACUCCUUUUAUAUGAGAAGAUAAUGACGGUAUUAUAUGAAUAAGCACCGGCUAACUCCGUGCCAGCCGCCGCGGUAAAAC
rnacentral:rRNA from 1 species